rnacentral:rRNA from 1 species
AAGGAAUAUUGGACAAUGGUCGGAAGACUGAUCCAGCCAUGCCGCGUGAAGGAAGAAGGCGCUCAGCGUUGUAAACUUCUUAUGGAUGGGAAUAAUAACCUCUACGAGAUAGGGGCUUGAAGGUACCAUCAGAAUAAGCACCGGCUAACUCCGUGCCAGCAGCCGCGGUAAUACGGAGGGUGCGAGCGUUAUCCGGAAUCACUGGGUUUAAAGGGUGCGUAGGCGGCCUUAUAAGUCAGUUGUGAAAUAUCCUCGCUUAACGAGGGGACUGCGAUUGAUACUGUAGGGCUUGAAUUGGGUUGAGGCAGGCGGAAUGUGGCAUGUAGCGGUGAAAUGCAUAGAUAUGCCAUAGAACACCGAUUGCGAAGGCAGCUUGCUGGACCUUGAUUGACGCUGAGGCACGAAAGCGUGGGGAGCAAAC